AGCGAACGUUUGCGGCGGGCUUAACACAUGCAAGUCGAACGAGAAUCCCUUCGGGGAGGAAAGUGGCGCACGGGUGCGUAACACGUGGGUAACCAACCCAUUGGUUUGGGACAACACCGGGAAACUGGUGCUAAUACCAGAUGUGUCGCAGCUGUCUUCAGGCGGUUGCGGGAAAGGCCCGCAAGGGUCGCCAACGGACGGGUCCGCGUCCCAUCAGCUAGUUGGUGAGGUAAUGGCUCACCAAGGCAAAGACGGGUAGCUGGUCUGAGAGGAUGAUCAGCCACACUGGAACUGAGACACGGUCCAGACUCCUACGGGAGGCAGCAGUGGGGAAUAUUGCGCAAUGGGCGAAAGCCUGACGCAGCCAUACCGCGUGUGUGAAGAAGGGCCUCGGUUGUAAGGUACAC
rnacentral:rRNA from 1 species